AUACGGGGGGUGCGAGCGUUGUCCGGAAUCAUUGGGCGUAAAGAGUUCGUAGGCGGCACGUAAAGUCUGGUGUUAAAGGCGUAUGCUCAACAUACGUACGGCACUGGAUACUUGCGAGCUAGAAUGCGGUAGAGGUAAAGGGAAUUCCUGGUGUAGCGGUGAAAUGCUUAGAUAUCAGGAGGAACAUCGGCGGCGUAAGCGCUUUACUGGGCCGUAAUUGACGCUGAGGAACGAAAGCCAGGGUAGC
rnacentral:rRNA from 1 species